rnacentral:rRNA from 1 species
GACGAACGCUGGCGGCGUGCUUAACACAUGCAAGUCGAGCGGAAAGGCCACUUCGGUGGUACUCGAGCGGCGAACGGGUGAGUAACACGUGAGUAAUCUGCCCUUCACUUGGGGAUAACCUCCGGAAACGGUGGCUAAUACCCGAUACGACCAGUCUUCGCAUGAGGUGCUGGUGGAAAGUUUUUUCGGUGGAGGAUGUGCUCGCGGCCUAUCAGCUUGUUGGUGGGGUAAUGGCCUACCAAGGCUUCGACGGGUAGCCGGCCUGAGAGGGUGACCGGCCACACUGGGACUGAGACACGGCCCAGACUCCUACGGGAGGCAGCAGUGGGGAAUAUUGGACAAUGGGCGGAAGCCUGAUCCAGCAACGCCGCGUGAGGGAUGACGGCCUUCGGGUUGUAAACCUCUUUCAGUACCGACGAAGCGAGAGUGACGGUAGGUACAGAAGAAGCACCGGCUAACUACGUGCCAGCCGCCGCGGUAA